UGGGGACAUUAACAAUUAAUUGGAUGCCACUUGGGCAGGCUGCUGUCAAACACCUAGCAAGAACAAUCUGGACAGGAAUAUUGGGCUUUCCAAACAUAAUUCUGUCAAUAAGGAAGAUCUUGGAGAAAAUAUUAUCAAACUCAGAAGAGAAUUUCCAGGGAGCACAUCUCCUGGUGUGAAGGAACAAUUGCACUAUUAUCUCUCUGGAGCUGGAGAUAAAUGGGAUUUAUCCUCUUUGAGGCAAAGAAUUUAUCAGGCAACAAAAGUUACAAUUCCUGGUAAGGAACAAGGUUGGACUGUGCAGCAACAAGUGCUUCUGGAGAAUGUAAGCCCGACACAUGUGCUGAAGUUACUCUUUAUUUUCUGAUAUGAAACCACUCCCAUUUAUAUAAGAAACAAAUUUCAGCCUCUUCCUUACUCGGCUUUCAGCAGCUGCUCAUGCAAUAAAUAGUUCAGCCAGCCAGGAAGGAGAUGUUCAUAGAUAACUGGAAACAACACCAAUUUCUGCCAUUUCCAUGACUGGUUUCAUUUGCAGAUCCUCCAGCUCUGGGCUGGCAUCUUUUGCAAAUCCUCAUAGGUGGGAGGCUUUGCAAAAGAUCUUUUUUGCUGUAAUUCAUUUAGGUCAUAGCCCUUCUUCUGCUCUUUCUUUUCACUACCUGAGGGAGUGUUGAAACAGAGAUCAUCCAAGGCACAAGUGCUGGUUUGAUUUACUGCCACAGUCAGCUAAAUCUGAGCUCUCUUCCCAGUAUCCAUGGCUCAGUUCACCUCGGGUCUCUGGCAUUGCCUCUUACAAUUGCCCUUAUUACACUUAAAUUUCAAAACCUGA